UGUACUGGGGGCACCCUGAUCAGCCAUGCCGCGUGAGUGAAGAAGGCCUUCGGGUUGUAAAGCUCUUUCGGCCGGGAAGAAAUCGCGUUGGCUAAUACCCAGCGUGGAUGACGGUACCGGAAUAAGAAGCACCGGCUAACUACGUGCCAGCAGCCGCGGUAAU
rnacentral:rRNA from 1 species